rnacentral:rRNA from 1 species
UACAGAGGGGGCAAGCGUUGUUCGGAAUCACUGGGCUUAAAGGGCGCGUAGGCGGACCACCAAGUCCGGGGUGAAAUCCUCCGGCUUAACCGGAGAAUUGCCUGGGAUACUGGUGGUCUUGAGGGAGGUAGGGGCACGCGGAACUUCCGGUGGAGCGGUGAAAUGCGUUGAUAUCGGAAGGAACGCCGGUGGCGAAAGCGGCGUGCUGGCCCUCUUCUGACGCUGAGGCGCGAAAGCCAGGGGAGCGAACGGG